UCGAAAGGGGUGCUAAUACCGGAUAAGCCCACGGUCUCUUCGGAGAGCGCGGGAAAAGGGGGCCUCUGUAUAUGCUCCUGUCGCUAGAUGAGUCCGCGGCCCAUUAGCUAGUUGGUAGGGUAAUGGCCUACCAAGGCUACAAUGGGUAGCUGGUCUGAGAGGAUGAUCAGCCACACUGGAASUGAGACACGGUCCAGACUCCUACGGGAGGCAGCAGUGGGGAAUUUUGCGCAAUGGGSGAAAGCCUGACGCAGCAACGCCGCGUGAGUGAUGAAGGCUUUCGGGUCGUAAAGCUCUGUCAGAGGGGAAGAAAUGAGUCUGGCUAAUAUCCAGAUUUCUUGACGGUACCCUCAAAGGAAGCACCGGCUAACUCCGUGCCAGCAGCCGCGGUAAUACAAGG
rnacentral:rRNA from 1 species